rnacentral:rRNA from 1 species
AUAUCAAUAAGCGGAGGAAAAGAAACUAACAAGGAUUCCCCUAGUAACUGCGAGUGAAGCGGGAAAAGCUCAAAUUUAAAAUCUGGCGGUCUUUGGUCGUCCGAGUUGUAAUUUAGAGAAGUGAUAUCCGCGUUGGACCGUGUAUAAGUUUCCUGGAAAGGAGCAUCAUAGAGGGUGAAAAUCCCGUCUUUGACACGGACUCCCAGUGCUUUGUGAUACGCUCUCGAAGAGUCGUGUUGUUUGGGAAUGCAGCACUAAAUGGGUGGUAAAUUCCAUCUAAAGCUAAAUAUUGGCGAGAGACCGAUAGCGAACAAGUACCGUGAGGGAAAGAUGAAAAGAACUUUGGAAAGAGAGUUAAACAGUACGUGAAAUUGCUGAAAGGGAAACGCUUGAAGUCAGUCACGUUUGCUGGGAAUCAGCCUUGCUUGCUUGGUGUAUUUCCUAGUAGACGGGUCAACAUCAGUUUUGGUCGUUGGAAAAAGGCUUAGGGAAUGUGGCAUCUCCGGAUGUGUUAUAGCCCUAGGUCAUAUACAACGACUGGGACUGAGGAACUCAGCACGCCGCAAGGCCGGGUUUCGACUACGUUCGUGCUUAGGAUGUUGACAUAAUGGCUUUAAUCGACCCGUCUUGAAA